UACGAAGGGGGCUAGCGUUGCUCGGAAUCACUGGGCGUAAAGCGCACGUAGGCGGAUUGUUAAGUCAGGGGUGAAAUCCUGGAGCUCAACUCCAGAACUGCCUUUGAUACUGAGAUCUUGAGUUCGGGAGAGGUGAGUGGAACUGCGAGUGUAGAGGUGAAAUUCGUAGAUAUUCGCAAGAACACCAGUGGCGAAGGCGGCUCACUGGCCCGAUACUGACGCUGAGGCACGAAAGCGUGGGGAGCAAACAGGG
rnacentral:rRNA from 1 species